GGUGAACGCUGGCGGCGUGCUUAAGACAUGCAAGUCGAACGGGCUCUUCGGAGCUAGUGGCGCACGGGUGUGUAACGCGUAACUGACCUACCCCAAAGUCGCGGAUAACGAUUCGAAAGAAUCGCUAAUACGUGAUGUGCUGUCAGAUCCUGUUCUGCCAGUAAAGAUUUAUUGCUUUGGGAUGGGGUUGCGUUCCAUCAGCUAGUUGGUGGGGUAAAGGCCCACCAAGGCGAGGACGGAUAGCAGGCCUGAAAGGGUGGCCGGCCACAGGGGCACGGCGAAACGGGUCCCACUCCUGCGGGAUGCGGUAGUUAGGCAUCUUCCACAAUGGGCGAAAGCCUGAUGGGGCGACGCCGCGUGAGGGAUGAAGGUCUUCGGAUCGUAAACCUCUGAAUCAGGGACGAAAGACACUUUAUGUGGGAUGACGGUACCUGAGUAAUAGCACCGGCUAACUCCGUGCCAGCCGCCGCAGUAAUAC
rnacentral:rRNA from 1 species